UGUUGCGUUCAAAAGGCGUCAUCCCUUCAGCUUCUGUUGCACCCAAAAUCCCCGUGUUAGUGAAUAGAGGCCUUGCAAGAGUACUCAGUUGAAGGAAACACAACAAAAGUUUUCCAUCCAAAGUUAAACCGUGACUUCCCUUCGGAAUGCACGACCCUCGAUUGCUCAAAGCAUAUUGCAAAUGACGCGACGUUCCACAUGACUCUUGGUUUGGUUUAUCAGAGGUGCAGGCUGGAUGUUAAAUUAUGAAAAAGAUAUUCCAGUACUUCUUGAGGAUGGAAUCAAGGUUCUUAUAUAUGCCGGAGGAUUUGAUAUUAUUUGCUAUGUUACAAGAGUUCAAAACCCACUAUGACAGUGGCAGCGUUUCCAGGCAUCAAUAUCAUUUAGCUCUGCUCAUUACUAAGAUUAUUAGGAACUCCUCCUCCUCAUUCUCUAGGUAAAGCCUGAUCAAAAGGAUGCGGAUAUUUGUUAUGAGCUUCUUAUGGUAUCGAGAGGGACCAUCUGUUAUCCACAUAACGCAUUCUAUGUAUUGUGUAAUGUAAGAAAACCACAUAGAUGUACAAUGACUUGUCUGGCUUUUGAAAACGUAUAAUCCAAACAUUUGGUUUCAA